rnacentral:lncRNA from 1 species
UUAAUCGUGCAAAUGCUUUUUUCUUUUUUUCCCACAGAUUUCCAUCUGUUGCUGAUCUUGCAUCUUCCACGCUUGGCAGUGAAGAGCCGCAGACACCUGCAGACACGCAUCAGUUCGACUGUUUGCGGCUCCGCUGGAUGCACAGGCCGCCUGUCCAGUGUGCAAGAUGCCCAAAUCUGAACACCCUUAUACUGAAUGAGAGCCUGCUUUAAUCAGGUGCAUAUGUCAAACUGUUUAAUAUGGUUUUGUUA